AUGGCGCGCGGCCUUCUGGAGGUGCAUCUGGUCCACGCCAAGGGCCUUUCCGGCACCGAUUUCCUUGGGAAGAUAGACCCGUAUGUGGUGGUGCAGUUCCGGAGCCAGGAGCGCAAGAGCAGCACCGCCGGAGAUGCGGGGAGGAACCCGAGCUGGAACGAGGUCUUCAGGUUCCAGAUCAACUCCUCCGCGGCCAACGUGCAGGAUAAGCUUGUCCUCCGGAUCAUGGACCACGACAACUUCUCCAGCGACGAUUUCCUCGGCCAAGCAACGAUCAAUGUGACUGACCUCAUCAGCAUGGGCAUGGAGAGCGGCACGUCGCGGCUGAACCCGGCCAAGUACAGGGUGGUCACCGCCGACAACUCGUACCACGGCGAGAUCAAGAUCGGCAUCACCUUCACCGCCCACCGCCGACAGCUCUGUUUCUCUCUCGUGGACUAG
rnacentral:rRNA from 1 species